UGAUUCGCAGGUCUCUUCAGGGCUGCCUUUGAUGCUUUCUGAGAAAGUUCAGCGUACAAAGGCACUUAUUGAAUGUGAAGGUGACUCUAUAGAUCUAAGUGGUGACAUGGGUGCUGUUGGCAGAAUAAUGAUUUCAGAUUCUCCUUCUGGGGAUCAGGAAGUGUACUUUGACUUAAAAGGGACAAUAUACAAA